GUUCCAGGAAUAGCGACUUUAACAGAAAGCUGGCAGACUGAGAAGACGGCAGACUAGGGUCUCAAAAAACCACCUUCCCUCAGUCCCAAUUCUGCUCCUUUUAUACAGAAGACGGGAGGGGGCAGAGCCCACAGCGGUGCCGACCAAUGGCUGAGCAGGACUGCUAAGGUCACUCCCUAACUGUCGCUCGCUUGGGUGAGCGACCCACUGCGAUGCUGGCCAGUGGCUGAGCAGGAAUCCCUAACAGCGGCUCACUAACAGCUGUGCAUCUGCCCCGGGCCCAUUACAAGAAAAAGGAGAGAGAUGAAUAACGCAACUUCCUCAACCUUCUCUUAAGAAAGGAAGAGUGAGAUAAGCAGAAACUCAGGGAGGAAGAAAUCACAGGCCAGAUUUUGGCUCCAGCCAAAAGCACGUUGUCCAGUCCAGCUUCCACCAGAGGGGAACGACAUUUGCAUUAAAAUUCAAGAGAGAUGAAGUCUGCCAUCGAUCUUGACUUCCUCGUGGACCUCUUGUGCUGAGGGAAAGAUGAUUUAGAGAAUGUCAAGAGUCUUGGAACAACCAUAAUGAGAGAGGGGGAAAAAAAUCACUUCAAACUUACACACCAAUGCUAACAUCAGAAUACUUCCAAACCCCUGCAGUGUGGAGGCUGCAUUAAAGAAUCUUGCUAAGGAUACUUCUGAAGUUUUAAAAAGUCCACUGGCCUGAGAAUUCCAGCUCUCCCUCACUGUUUUGGUAUGAUCAUUAGAUGCCCCUGGUACAGGUAAGCCUCAUCUCCAGUCUGGGGCUGUUAACUACCUCUAACCAUCCAGGAAGGCCAAGGCCAUCCUUACAGGCAUCAGUGGAUCCUCAGUGCUAGAGGCCUGUUACGCAGGACUCCUCCCCGAUUCUGAAAGAGAAAUAAGAGAAGGGGAGGGGUAGCUUGAAGAAAAUAAAAAGUAAAAGAGAGAAAGCAAAGCGCUAUGUUUUUCUGUGGCUGGUACUCUGGGUUUUAGUCUGCUAAACACAGUGGCUUGACCUGGUUACUUUAAGGCUUUCAAAUCUGAAUACAACAUCCUACACAAACACAUAACCCAGACAGAUGCAUAUACACAUACCUUCACAAAGACUCUUUCAGAACUGAAAAUACUAAGACAAAUCAAAAGGGAAUUAAUUUCACCAUUGUUGCCAUUUUUUUGUUUGUUUGUUUUGUUUUUGAUGUAAGUCAGGGGCAGGAGCACUAUGGAAUUUCCAGAUGAUACAAUAUACCCAUUAGAAAAUGGCAUGCACAGAAAAUUGGAACCAGAAAUGACCUUGGAAAUCAUCUAACUCCGUUUUCUCAAUCUGCAGAUGAAGAAAUCAAGCUCUCAAGAAAUAAAGUCAUUUGUUCAGAGUCAGGGAAAGGCUCAAAGUUAAAGUUGGAAUUAGGACCCCCAAAAUCUCUAAAAAUCUGCCUCACUUGCCACUCUGAACUGCUGUAAUCAUUUGCUCAGUUUAGGAGCUGAAAGCUGAAGCUGCCUUCCUGAUCCUGGUGUUGUAUUGGGGUAUUUGUGAAGAACUCGGCUGCUCAGGUAUAAACACAUUUUGUGGUUUCCACACCUCUUGUGUUUAAUAUGCUGCACGAUAACUGAAAGACUUUUUAAAAGACUUUGAAAGAAAUUUAGUUGAUACGUUCUUUAUUUCCAGUGUUCUGUACUUUCAUUUUUAAAUUCUCUUUCUUUCUCUACAUCCCCUUGCCUUGGCCCCAGUUUCACUGAGGAGUCAUUUAUGAAACUUUAAGUUUUAGUAACUUAAAGCCAUUGUCAGAAAACACAGGAAAAUCAGUUAGAAGGAACCCCAUUAGCCAUGCCUCCAAGUCCUGUUAAAUUAUGAGCUUGUUGCUGUUCACUGUUUAAUUCCAUAAGAUCACCCUUCUAUCACUCAACUUGGACAGAAACUUAGGGAGACAAUAGACAAUCUUGGCAAAAACUGAAGAGAAACUGUUGUUGGGGGGUGGGGGUGGGAAAUGGAUGUAGCUGAUAAAUUACAGGGCUGCCUAUUCAGUCAUGGGAAUGAAAACAUUUCUCUGGAUCAAUGUAUGAAAAGGAUUUUUAAUAGGAUGGGAGAAGUCAUUUGAACACCUGUUUCCUUGGCAAUUGAAUGCACUGGUGCCAAUCACUUAGCCUGGAUCUACUCUCCUAGCAGAAAAUGACCUCAUCUCUUAUUCUUUGAGGAUUGAAGCAGCAGAACAGUAUCUAUUUUAACAGGACUGGGAGCAAUAAGCAGGGCAUUGACAGCUAGGAAAGUUUGUCUUAGAAAGUCUGACCUGAGGCAGUGGGGAAUCGGAGCCAGGAGAGGGAGAAGGAGAGAGGCUGUGAGCUUGUGUGGACACCGGCACAUGAAACGAGAAGCACAGGACAUAAAACUGUGAAUCAGAGGCAAACUCAUCUCACCCUGGAAGUUUCUAAGCCUAGAGUCAUAAAUGCCUCUUCAUCUCGCAACCCAUUCUGGUCAUGGAGAAGUUCCUUUUGAAGGGUAGCUGUCUGUGUUGACUUUGUUAAGGUAGAAGUUCAAGCUCAUUUAUGAGGAUAGAAGGAUUCAAAGUACCCUCAGCAGGGCUCAGCUCUGAGCUUCACACGUACCCCAUGGAAGGGCUCCCCUUAUCCAGGACCAAGCAAUGAAAUGUUAAUAUAAGUGUGUUUCUUUGCAUUUCUCCAAAAACUUUAGGUUUCCUCCAUGCAACUGUGUCACGACUGUGUUUUUAUCAGAGACUCUCACUGGGCGUGGUUUUAUCCUCUUCCAUGUACCUGAACCUGGAGAAGGAAAUGGCAGCCCACUCCAGUAUUCUUGCCUGGAGAAGCUCAUGGACAGAGGAGCCUGGUGGGCUACAGUCCAUGGCAUUGCAAGAGUUGGACAUGACUUAGCAACUAAACCAUGUGCCCGAACCAGCACUGUGGCUUCAAAGAACACAAUAUUAUGAUUAUCUUGGUCUCUGAAAUGUAUUACCCAUGGUUUCUUUUAGCUUUUCUCUUUCCCCAGGGAUGAACAACGCAUCUAGGAUACAUUUCUAAAAAGCUUACAACUUUUCUUAAAAUAAAACUCAGCCUCUUUACUGUAUCCCAAAUUUCUGUUUGAUUCUUGACAUAGUCCAUAAGAACCUCUUCAAUUAGAUACCAAUAUCCUGCAGGACUCCCAGGGGUACAUCUCACACAGGUUUCUUUCCCCACAUUGGACAGUUCAGGGAGAGAGACCACAGACCUACUGUAAAAUGGGGGGAAAUAUUUGGUGCUGGAAAAGACUCUUGAGAGUCCCUUGGAUGC